rnacentral:lncRNA from 1 species
UCCGGGUAAUGGAUCAAACAAAGGUUGUAUGCCAGGCAAAGGCGGUCCUGAGAAUUCGGGUUGUAAAUACAGAGGAGUAAGGCAGAGGACUUGGGGUAAAUGGGUGGCUGAAAUUCGCGAACCUGUUUAUAUUAGUGGUGAGUUUAAGAGCAAAGGGAAGCGGCUUUGGCUCGGUACUUACUCGACUGCUGGUGACGCUGCUAUUGCUUAUGAUGAAGCUGCUAAGGUUAUGUAUGGAUCCAAUGCCAUACUUAAUUUCCCCAAUUGUUGUGACUCUCCCAUUACUCGAACAUCUUCACUUGAAUCGAGUGGUCAAUCGUCUGUUGAUCAUGAAGAUUUAGUUAUUGAUAAUGCAAAGAAUAUUGAAAUUGAGUCGGAUUUGAAAACAUCAGAUACACCAGAGGAUGAUGGUGGUGGUGUUGUAAAUACAGAUUUAAGUUAUGAUUAUGCUAAUCAUGGUUCACCUGCUUGUUCCUGGACUGAAGAGGAAUUGGAAGUAAUCACGGAGGAGAACUCCGUUAUAGAAUUAACCAAUUUGGAGUACGAUUCGAGAUUUUUUCCUAAAUCUCAAAAAUCUUGUGUUAAAGUUGAGACACCUAUAAUGGAAGAAGAAAUUGACAAGGAUGAAUUUGUGCAUAACGAUGUCUCAAACACAAUAGACAUGAAGCCAACCGUCAUGUUUAACAAAGAUGACUUCUCGAGGCCUGAGGAAAUUUGUAACUCCAAUGAUCAAAUUGUGCUACAAGACAUGGAUUUCAGGUCUUCUGAAAACCUGAAUGAAGAUGUUAGUACGCGUCUAGAAUACAUGGAGCAUUUUCUAAUGGAAGAUAAUUGUUCAAUGGAAGCGACAAAUAUAUCAGACAUAUUUUCUAUGACAGAGAACCAUGAUGAAGCUUUCGAUUUUCAGAGGUUUUUAGAAGAAUCAUUUGAUUUCAAGCCAAUGGUAGUACCUCAAGAGUCUGCUGAGCUAAACUAUGCGAAGAAUCAGGAGCAAUUUGAAUGUAAAUAUGCAUACAACCAGCAAAUUGACCUCCAGAACUCAGAGACAAAUUCCGAGAUUCGAUUAGAUAGAAUAAUAAGCAACCAGGCUGAUUCGAAGGAACAAAACUUGCGUGCUUUCGGAUUAGAUGACUUUGGAGCAAGCAAUAGUUGGCAACCAGAGGAUAAUAUCGAAGAUUUCUCUAUGCUCAACUUUGAUUUUGAUAUAUCAUCCUAUAUUAAUGAUAUUAGUUAGGAAAAUAUAAUGUUUUAAUUCAUUAUACUUGUGAUACUUUUGUAACUAUAGUCUGCUAGAAACAUAAAUUAGAAAGAUUAUAAUGGUCUUGGUAUGAACUCGAAAAACAAGUUGUUUUCUAAAUUAUUUUCUCAUGUUUGAUUGGUGAGUGGAAAAUUUCUAAUAUUUGGUUGAUGAAUGAAAAAAAAAAUAUUUUUGGCUAGACAGUGGAAAAUAACUUUUAGGAAAAUAGUUUCUGACCCGCAAACCAACUUCGAUAAUCAAUUCAGGACCCGUUAUUGACACUCAAAUUGGGACACAAUCUUGAUGACCGUUUUGGGAUCCGACCCCGAUGCCCAAUUCGAGACCUGACCUCGAUUCUCAAGCUGGGACCCGAUAUUCGAACAAUUCGGGACCUGACCUUGUUCUCAACCUGGGUCCCGAUAUUCAAAUAGGGACUUUACUCUAAGCCCGACAUCUAAAGAGAAACAAGGACUUUACUUUGAGCCCGACAUCCAAAUAGGGACACGACCCCAACGACUGAUUUGGGAUCCGACCCAGAUCCUGACCCUAAAUUCUGCUUGAGACCUAAGAUUCGAAUGGACUCGACUCCGAGCGCGACAUCCGAACCUGAAUACGACCUCGAUAAUUGAACUGGAAUUCGACCUCAACUCUCUACCCAACACCCGACUUUUGAAUUAGGACUCGACCCAGACUCUCAACUCGGGAACCAACCCUAACACUCAACCUCGGACUCGACUCUGACACUCGACUCAAGUAUUGACUUUUGAAUCAAAAUACAACCCCAACGAUCGAUCCAAGAUCCAACCCAGCCCGACUCUUGAAUUAAUACCUGACUUUUGAAUCGGGACCCGACCUGGGAUCGUACCCUGACACCUGACCUCGACAAGUGAUUCAGGACCCUACUUCGACUCUUAACUCGGGUCUCGACUUUCAAAUCAGAAUCCAACUACGACGAUCGACCCCGACUCCGACGCUCGAAUCUAGACAUGACCUCAAUGACCAAUUGGGAACCAACCCCAACACUCAAUUCAAAAACUAAGUUUCGACUCCCUAACCUAAGAAUCGAUACUUAAAUCGAGACUCGACAUCUGAAUCGGGACCCGACUUCCUAACGAAGACUCGAUCUCGACACUCGGUGUGGGACUUAACUUUCAAAGAGAGACCCAACCUUGACUCGAGAUCCGACCCUAAUUUUCGACUCUCGAUUCGAGACUUAACCCUAACGACUAAUCCAACACCCGACCCUGAGACCUGACUUUUGAAUUGAGACCCAACCCCGACCUAAACCGGAUUUUCGAAUCAGGAGCUAACCCUAACACUUGAUGCAAGACCUAAUGAGUCCACAAUUUGGACUCAUUUAAUGCUAUAUUUUGAUAGAAUUAGUAUCCUCAAAUGCAUAUUUUGACUCAAUAUCUGAAGAAAAUCCUUAAGUUUCGGGUAUUUAGAAUUUGAGGCAAAGCAUGGACACUACUUGGUAAGAAGGAACAAGGCGGCUGAAAAGAACAAAGAAAUGAAGGCCUAAAGAUCGCCGAGCCCAGUUGGUGAGUCGCCGAUGGGCCUGGAUAUUGCCUUUUGUUCCAGUGUGCUGAGCCCUAAAGGAGAAGGUCAAGUCCACGAUGAUAAGGAGCAGUCGGCGCAUUAUCGAGCAGUUCCGCGAAACAGUACUAUAUCGCCCAACGACUCAAAACGCGAAGAGGCUGAAGGAUAAAGCAGGAAGGCGAUGAAAUCGACCAAAAGGCGGAUCGCCGAGUGUAUCGGCGAUCCCGACUAACUGCGGCGAAUGAUCCUCCGCAGUACAAAUUUUCAAGCACUAUAAAUACUUGUUUUAAAUUCCUAGAACAUCAUGACUUCUAUUAUUAGAACUUAUUACAGUUUUUGAGAGAAUCUAAGUUUUAGAGGGUUUUGGAGACUUUGUUCUAAGACCUUGAAGAUUCAAAGGGUUUCAACUCCAAGAAAUUAAACUUGGGUCUUGAAGAUUCUUCACUCUUGACGUGUUUUAANNNNNNNNNNNNNNNNNNNNNNNNNNNNNNNNNNNNNNNNNNNNNNNNNNNNNNNNNNNNNNNNNNNNNNNNNNNNNNNNNNNNNNNNNNNNNNNNNNNNNNNNNNNNNNNNNNNNNNNNNNNNNNNNNNAAUAUGGGUUAAAUUAUCUGUUGGGUCUUGCUUGUUGAUGGUUUAUUUGUUGUUCAAAUGUGAUUUCGUUUAGUAGUUGUGUAUGAACUUAAUGGGAUUGUAGUUGCAAAUACGAUUUCAUCUUAGUGUUUUUGACUUGCUCGAGAGAGAGGCAGUAAAACUAAGACUACUAAAUUGAUAGCCGAUGGUAUUUUCGAGAGAGUGAAUGGUCUAAGGCGGAGGCAGUGCUUAAUGCGGCAACUCAGUGUUCAAGAGAAACCAAGUUGAUUCGGGGUAAGUUGCUUGAGAGAGAAUUUACCCCUACUAUAGUCUAGCCUAGUCACAAAUGCUCAACAAUUUACUAUCAAAAGCAUGUACCCGAUAGUCUAGUUUAUCACGUAUUCCUAUCACAUCCCAAGAAUCUCAUCUCCAUAUCUCGUUUCUUUAUAUUUUUGUCGUUUUUGUUGAAUAGUUAAUACAAACCUCCCAUUGAUAAUUGACGCUUGCGUCACCCCUUAGAUUUAGUAUGUUUUUAUUCGAUAAUGUUUAUAGCUAUGACUGGUUAGAACUUAAUUUUACUUUUAUAUUAAUUCUCAAAACCACUCCCUGUGGAACAAUCCCAACCCUUGGUUGGGUUAUAUCACUACACGCGAUCGUUGGCACUUGAACCGAAAUAGUGUCAGUUGAUUACGUCGAACAUCAAGACCUGAUCAUAAUACCUGACCCAGGACCUAACUACUGACUUGUGUAGGGUGGAUGAAAAGAAGAUUUUUGUCUGGAGUAUUGUGUGACAAAAAGGUGUCACCAAAACUUAAGGGCAUGUUUUAUAUGUCUAAUGGUGGUUAGAUCAACUAAGUUGUAUGGGGCAAGUUGUUGUCCAGUUAAUAAAAACUCUCACGUUCAUACAAUAAAAGAUUCAAAGAUAAGGAUGAUGUGGUGAAUGUGUGGGCAACUAGGAGAAAUAAGAUUAUAAAUAAAAACAUUGACAAGAUGCAUAAAAUAGGGUUUAGAAUAUGGUUCAGGCAUGUGAAGAAGAGAUGCACGGCUACUCCAAUACGAUGGUGCGAGAUGUUAGCUAUGAAUGGUUCAAGAGACGUAAAGGUAGGUCGAAGAAGCAUUAUGGAGGGGUGAUUAGAUAAGAUGACACAAUUGCAGCUUAUUGUGGACAUAGACUAGGAUAGAAGGUUAUAAUUAGUAGGUAGUAGAGCAUUGUCUUUCUCAUCCUUAUCUUACUAGUAGUCAUAGAAUUUCUAAUAUAGUUUCUUGUCCUCCGAUUUUCGUCAUCUUGUACUUCAAUUAUCACACUAUUUUAUUGUAGUUACUAUUCCUUUUUUUUAGAAUGCUAUGUCAUGUUUUCCUUAAAAUUUGUUUUGAUCCCAAGAUAGGAGGUAAAAGCCCGUAUACUCUUCUCUCAGCAUUAUUCACUUGUGAAAUUACAUAUUUUAUAUAUAUAUAUAUAUAUAUUUCUUUUUUCUUAAGCAAACUGUCAAGUCAGUGUGACUGUGUGUAAAAAGAAAUAUACUAUUUGUCUAUACUUUGCUUAUUUUCAACCGUGCGUGUAAAGUUCACAUUUUUUAUGUGAACUUUUGUUGGCAUUGCCUUGUUAUAUUAAUCUUUCUUUGCGCACAAGAAACAAAUAGCCGCAAAAAUUGUGGUGUACAAACUGAAAGAUCUCUAUAGUAGUGGAAAGAGUCAGAAAACACAAAAUUCGUGAUCAGCAAGAAUAUUAUUUUUGGAGAUUAGUGUUAUAAAUAAACUUUUUAUAUUUGUGAUUUAGGGAUGGCUCAAUAUUAUUAAGAAAAAAUGCUUUUUUUUAUGUCUCUAAACUAAGAAUAAAUGAGAAUUUUAUACUUAAAGUUAUUUCUUCUAAUUAUAUAGAAAUACGACAUUUGUGUCAAAACCUAGCUAUAACCAAAAGUGAUAAAGUUGGCACUACAUUUCCUUGUUAAUAAUAACUUAGUCCCCAAGGAAAAACCCUAAGAUAAGAAUAGUAAAUAUAGUUAAGAAAUUCACACUAUCAGCACACGCUACUACCAAAAAAAGAAGAAUAAAGACAAGUUAUUUUUAUACUGAUUUCGUUUCCUAAAAAAUGAAUCCCAAUUCGACUAGGAAAAGGAUUUUAACAAAAUUAAACACAAUUAUAUAACGAAGAAUCAUUGGCCAAAACAAAAUACAAAACUUCCAUUUAUUUAUUUAUUAUAUAUAUAUAAAUUAUAAAUUAUAUAUACCUUUUGAUAUGUCUUCUCACAUUCCACAAAGGUGAUUUUCUUCUCUUUAAUUUUCUCUUUUCUAUCUACUUUUUAUAAUUUUUAAAUUAAAUAAGUAGAAACAACUGCCAACUUUGUAGUAGUACUCAGUAUUUUGGAUUUAUUGUGUGCUAUUUUCUGAUUUAGGUAUUUGUUUCUCCUUCUUUGCUUAAAAUUACAAAAGAAAUUACUUUUGAUUAAUCUUAAAACUAUUUAUAUAACCAUGGAUUUUUGUGUUGACAGGAAACUGAAAAGAAGGCGUAAUGGAUCUGAUUCCAUAGAUGAGAUUUUAUUAAGAUGGAGAAAUUUUAAUAAGGAGGUUAAUUCAAACAAUGAACAAGUGAAGAAGAAGAAGAAGAGAAAAUCUCCGGGUAAUGGAUCAAACAAAGGUUGUAUGCCAGGCAAAGGCGGUCCUGAGAAUUCUGGUUGUAAAUACAGAGGAGUUAGGCAGAGGACUUGGGGUAAAUGGGUGGCUGAAAUUCGCGAACCUGUUUAUAUUAGUGGUGAGUAUAAGAGCAAGGAAAGAGGCUUUGGCUCGGUACUUACUCGACUUCUGGUGACGCUGCUAUUGCUUAUGAUGAAGCUGCUAAGGUUAU